rnacentral:misc_RNA from 1 species
GGAAGUAAAAGUCGUAACAAGAUUUCCGUAGGUGAACCUGCGGAAGGAUCAUUAUUGUAUAACCGAGGUGAGAGGGCUGUCGCUGACCCGAAAGGUCGUGCACGCCCGAGUGCCCUCACACACAUCCAUCUCACCCCUAUGUGCACCACCGCGUGGGUCCCCCUUUGGCUUGUUCGGAGGGGGGCUUACGUUUUCACACAAACUUUGUAUGCAGUGUAGAAUGUAUUUUUUGUUUUUGCGAUCACGCAAUCAAUACAACUUUCAACAACGGAUCUCUUGGCUCUC